rnacentral:rRNA from 1 species
UACGUGAGGGGCGAACGUUGUUCGGUGUCACUGGGCUUAAAGGGCGCGUAGGUGGUUGCGUAAGUAACGUGUGAAAUCCCUCGGCUUAACCGGGGAAUUGCACGUUAUACUGCGUGACUUGAGGAUCAGAGGGGAAUGGGGAACUCCAGGUGUAGCGGUGAAAUGCGCAGAUAUCUGGGGGAAGGCCGGCGGCGAAGGCGCCAUUCUGGCUGAUUCCUGACACUGAGGCGCGAAAGCGUGGGGAGCAAACAGG